rnacentral:rRNA from 1 species
GACGAACGCUGGCGGCGUGCCUAAUACAUGCAAGUAGAACGCUGAAGGAGGAGCUUGCUUCUCUGGAUGAGUUGCGAACGGGUGAGUAACGCGUAGGUAACCUGCCUGGUAGCGGGGGAUAACUAUUGGAAACGAUAGCUAAUACCGCAUAACAGUAGAUGUUGCAUGACAUUUGCUUAAAAGGUGCAAUUGCAUCACUACCAGAUGGACCUGCGUUGUAUUAGCUAGUUGGUGGGGUAACGGCUCACCAAGGCGACGAUACAUAGCCGACCUGAGAGGGUGAUCGGCCACACUGGGACUGAGACACGGCCCAGACUCCUACGGGAGGCAGCAGUAGGGAAUCUUCGGCAAUGGACGGAAGUCUGACCGAGCAACGCCGCGUGAGUGAAGAAGGUUUUCGGAUCGUAAAGCUCUGUUGUAAGAGAAGAACGAGUGUGAGAGUGGAAAGUUCACACUGUGACGG